CUUGGUUUUGGUGGCCUUCGGCUGGCCUCUUUACCACAUCCUGUUUCGUUAGCAGGGUCUUUGUGACCUGUAUUUUGUGUUGAUCUCCAGUCUCAUCCUGUGACUAAGAAUGCCUAGCUUCCUGGGAAUGCAGCCUUAGCCCCUUUUUACGUAACCCCUAUUCAAGAUGGAGUCACUCUGAUUUGAAUGCAUCUGACACUAUGACCUCAUUUUGUUGUUGUUGCUGUUGUUGUUAUAGUUCUGAAAUAUUAGUGAACUGCUGUGAUGUAGAAGAGAUUGGAAAAACUGAGAAGAAUCUGCAGCUGCAGGAAACACAGUUGAAGAACUUUGCCUUUGAUUAUCAUCUUGCUGGUAGAACAGGUAUAGUAGCUGUUGCUAAUGAUGUUCCUGGGUGCCGCAGAAAACAUGCUCCAGAAAUCAACUUCAUUUGCCAAGUUUUAGGACUGACAAGAGAAAGUUGCUUUUUUAUAGUUAUUCAUUAAAAUUUUUAUUUUAUUUUAAGUGGAAUCUUAUGCAGCAUUC
rnacentral:lncRNA from 10 species